UUUACAGGGAAAGUUUUAACGCCGAAAGAUGAGCCCGCACUUGAUUAGCUAGUUGGUAAGGUAAAAGCUUACCAAGGCAACGAUCAAUAGCUGUUCUUAGAGGAAGACCAGCCACAUUGGGACUGAGACACGGCCCAGACUCCUACGGGAGGCAGCAGUGGGGAAUCUUGCACAAUGGGGGAAACCCUGAUGCAGCGAUGCCGCGUGAGUGAA
rnacentral:rRNA from 1 species